GAUCGCGUAGCUCAGUUGGCAGAGCAUUGGGCUAGUAUUCCAAAGGUCGUAGGUUCGAUUCCCACCGUGGACA